rnacentral:rRNA from 1 species
UACGUAGGGUCCGAGCGUUGUCCGGAGUUACUGGGCGUAAAGCGCGCGCAGGCGGCGGUGUUGGCCCGGCGUGAAAGCCCCCGGCUCAACCGGGGAGGGUCGUCGGGGACCGCACCGCUUGAGGGCGGUAGGGGCUGGUGGAAUGCCUGGUGUAGUGGUGAAAUGCGUAGAGAUCAGGCGGAACACCUGUGGCGAAGGCGGCCAGCUGGGCCGUCCCUGACGCUGAGGCGCGAAGGCGUGGGGAGCGAACAGG